rnacentral:rRNA from 1 species
UACGUAGGGUGCGAGCGUUGUCCGGAAUUAUUGGGCGUAAAGAGCUCGUAGGCGGUCUGUCGCGUCGAAUGUGAAAACCCGGGGCUCAACUCCGGGCUUGCAUUCGAUACGGGCAGGCUAGAGUUCGGUAGGGGAGUCUGGAAUUCCUGGUGUAGCGGUGAAAUGCGCAGAUAUCAGGAGGAACACCGGUGGCGAAGGCGGUUCUCUGGGCCUGUACUGACGCUGAGGAACGAAAGCGUGGGGAGCGAACAGG